AUUUUCCCUUCAAAUAUAAUGUGUCAACUUAUUUACUUGAUUAUGAAGUUGCAUGAAUGCCGAUUGGAGCUUGUGCUCCUCCAGAUGGUAUUAGAACUGUUUGAUUAUAGCUUUAUAAUUAUUUAUGAAUAUAUAAGUUGAUAUUAUCUAUUGGUACACAUUUUAUUAUUUUCAAUCCGGAAUAACAUUGCUGCAAAUUGCUACAUCUUUUUAUUUGAAGAAUAAAAUGUUAUUGUCUAAUUUUUACUUUAAA
rnacentral:lncRNA from 1 species